GGUUGUCGUCAGCUCGUGUCGUGAGAUGGUUGGUUAAGUCCCGCAACGAGCGCAACCCUUGUGUUUUAGUUGCAAACAGGUCAAGCUGUGCACUCUAGACAGACUGCCGUGGACAACACGGAGGAAGGUGGGGAUGACGUCAAAUCAUCAUGCCCCUUAUGAUCUGGGCUACACACGUGCUACAAUGGCCGGUACAACGGGCAGCGAAGGAGCGAUCCGGAGCGAAUCCUAAAAAGCCGGUCCCAGUUCGGAUUGCAGGCUGAAACUCGCCUACAUGAAGUUGGAGUUGCUAGUAAUCGCGAAUCAGAAUGUCGCGGUGAAUGCGUUCCCGGGUCUU
rnacentral:rRNA from 1 species